UACGGAGGGUGCGAGCGUUGUCCGGAAUCACUGGGCGUAAAGGGCGCGUAGGCGGCCUGAUAAGUAGGGGGUGAAAUCCUGCGGCUUAACCGCAGGGCUGCCUUCUAAACUGUCAGGCUCGAGCACAGUAGAGGCAGGUGGAAUUCCCGGUGUAGCGGUGGAAUGCGUAGAGAUCGGGAGGAACACCUAUGGCGAAGGCAGCUCGCUGGGACGUUACUGACGCUGAGACGCGAAAGCGUGGGGAGCAAACAGG
rnacentral:rRNA from 1 species